UUUGCCUCGGGACUCUGUC
rnacentral:misc_RNA from 1 species